CGGUCUGUCUGCCAAACGACACAGUUAAUGAAAAUAAAUGACCGUAGGAUGUUGAGGAUGUUGAGGUUCAUAUCAAAGGAUAAAACAGGAAAUGCAUCAGGGUUGGACCCCUUGGAGUUGUUUCAUCAUUCAGCAUCACAAUAUCCUCUUAAUUUGACUCCUCACUAUUUCAAGCUGCAAAAGCCCCUAAAAUAUAUUUUAUACCUUCAUUCAGCGCUGCAUCACAUUUCCUGACUAUCAAAGUAUGUGCCAAAACAAAGUAGAUUAACUCCACUGCAUAUCUCGCACUUUUCAGACAGAUGAAGUGAAAUGACUGUAGCUUGACAUCGAUCACUGAGAGAUUUUUAUGAGUUUAAAUAGAUUGUGGUAAUUAAAAUCAGUGUGGUAAAAUCUGCUAAAAGACAUUCUUACAUACAUCAAAACACUGUGCGUGUCUUUUACAAAUCCUAAACUGCAUCCACAUCUCUCUGAUAUUAAAAAUAGAUGACAUUUACUCACCCAUAUGUAUAAAAAAAAAAAUAAUUGUCGGUCCAACCCUAGAACGAACUGCGACUGUGAAAAAUAUUCAGACUCCUUCAGUUGGUGCAUACUUUCUUGAUACUUAAAGCUCAAUUUGGAACGAAGAAUCUGGUUUAUUCAGUGCAGAAUUAUUACUGCUAUUAUGUCCAUACAGCAAGAAAGUGGUCUUAAUACGUCCUGAAGCCUCUCCAUAUGCCCUAGUGUGCAGAGGCUGUUGUAUGUCAUAAUGUGUGAAUAUUUCCAUUAAUCUGUACUUUGGAGGUUUUAAAUGACCAGUGGUCUGAUCCGAUGCCCACCCACCCAUCUCUGUCCUGUGUGUUAAAUCAAACAUACUCAAAGUGUUUCAUCAUUGUGUUGUGACUGCAUUUGUCCUGUGUGACCACCGAUCUCACCGCUGGUUGUUUAAAAACUUGAAGCUAACACCUCCACAGAAAGAAAGAAAGAAAGGAAGAAAGAAAUAUGUCACAGAGAGGUUUUAAGUUGUACAUGUUGUGGUGUUGUUGAAUAUUUUGGUAGUGACUGUGAGAAAGAGAUUAUGUUUAAGACUGUUAAUCUGAUGCUGUUUGUUUAUUAUGAAGACGUCCAAUUGCAUGUCCUCAUUCUGUGCACCCGUCCCACCCUAUGUGACGUGUUGCUGUGUCAUGUUAUGUGCUCCCACCCACCCGAAGCAUGGGACUCCCAUCAGUUUGUUGUUGUUGUUGGUGUGUGUCAGGAAGUCAAGUUAUUUCAGCUUUUUUUGGGGGGGGGCAGUUAUGAUUUUGUGACGUUUUUAAUUUUUUAUUGUAUUUCUUUGUUACCAUUUCCAUCCAGCAUCACUCUAGAAACUGUGUUCAGGGAAUGCCGCCCACCCUCCCACUUUCCCCAGAAACCACAUGCUUUACAACCGGUUCAUGCACACACACACACAGUAAUGUACACCCACCCACCUGCCUCAUUCCCACCCUCAGUCAUCCAUACCGUACAUAUUCAUAAAACCGUUCAAAAACCCGCCACACAUCCACUAUUCCCUCCCAGUUUCUUCAGAUUCAGCCGCUGGGUUCCUUUCGGAGGACGUAAACCAUCUCGGCUGCAUUCAGCCUUCAACACAUGAAACAGACCAAAACAAACAAACCCCCCUCC